GUACAGCUGACGAGUCCCAAAUAGGACGAAACGUGCGUCCUGGAU
rnacentral:hammerhead_ribozyme from 1 species